rnacentral:rRNA from 1 species
AGUGAACGCUGGCGGUAGGCCUAACACAUGCAAGUCGAACGGCAGCACAGUAAGAGCUUGCUCUUACGGGUGGCGAGUGGCGGACGGGUGAGGAAUACAUCGGAAUCUACUUUUUCGUGGGGGCUAACGUAGGGAAACUUACGCUAAUACCGCAUACGACCUACGGGUGAAAGCAGGGGAUCUUCGGACCUUGCGCGAUUGACUGAGCCGAUGUCGGAUUGGCUAGGUGGAGGGGUAAAGGCCCACCCAGGCGACGAUCCGUAGCUGGUCUGAGAGGAUGAUCAGCCACACGAGAACGGGGACACGGUCCAGAGUCCUAAGGGAGGCAGCAGUGUGGAAUAUUAGGCAGUGGGCGCAAGCCUGAUCCAGCCAUACCGCGUGUGUGAAGAAGGCCUUGGGGUUGUGAAGCCCUUUUUUUGGGUAAGAAAAGCAGCAGGUUAAUACCCCGCUGUUCUGACGGUACCCAAAGAAGAAGCACCGGCUAACUUCGUG